UACGAAGGGAGCUAGCGUUGUUCGGAAUCACUGGGCGUAAAGCGCACGUAGGCGGAUGUGUCAGUCAGGGGUGAAAUCCCGGAGCUCAACUUCGGAACUGCCCUUGAUACAGCACGUCUUGAGUCCGGAAGAGGUGGGUGGAAUUCCUAGUGUAGCGGUGAAAUGCGUAGAUAUCUGGAGGAACACCGGUGGCGAAGGCGGCAUCCUGGACCGACACUGACACUGAGGAGCGAAAGCCAGGGGAGCAAACGGG
rnacentral:rRNA from 1 species